AACGUAGGUGGCAAGCGUUAUCCGGAUUUACUGGGCGUAAAGGGUGUGCAGGCGGGGUUGCAAGUGGGGUUUGAAAUCUCCCGGCUUAACCGGGAGGGGUUAUGCCAGACUGCAAUUCUAGAGGACGAGAGAGGGGGGUGGAAUUCCGGGUGUAGUGGUGAAAUGCGUAGAGAUCCGGAGGAACCCCAGAGGCGAAGGCGGCCCCCUGGCUCGUACCUGACGCUCAGCCACGAAAGCAUGGGGAGCGAACGGG
rnacentral:rRNA from 1 species